AGUUGAGAACAUUCCGCCGGUCUGUAUUAUAAAUGCACGAUUGCAGUGCAGCGUUUGUAUCCGCAACAAAUAACCAUGGUUAAUAAAUGAUCAGACACGUCACUGGCUUUAAAAUAUAAACCCCAUUGAUGCAAAAAGAUGCUGCAUGGAAUGACAAUGAGGUUUGGAACAGACUUGAAGAACAUGGAAACAUCUCUAAAUAAAAUGGCCCCAAACAUCAUCAGGAGUGCAAAAGAAGGAAGUAAAAAACAUCUCUACGCCAAUCUCAUUGGAGAGGAAACCACAGAAGGUCUGGUGAGGAAUGCUGCACUUAUGUUAUUGCCAGCAUUAUUUCAAGAAAAUCCCAGCUUCCUUGACUGUGUAAAUAGUGAACCCAAAGGUCCCACACCAACCAUAGUGUUCAAUGGCUCUCCUGAUCUUCUCAAAUCUGAAAGUAUCAACUUUAUAAUGGACAAUGUGAACUUAAUAUGUGGAUGACAUUGACAUCACAGGCUGUGGAAUGACUGUGUCACAGGUCGGAGAAGCGGACCGCCCCUGUCGCGGAUCACGCUCCUCCUAGUUCCACCUCGAGGAGGUCCCAAAGCACCCCAAUGACCAGACAAACCAGAGAUAAGUAAAAUAUAAAAAUAGAAACUUUAUUUAAAUUAUUUAAAACUAAAGUGGGGAAUGGGAAUCUAAAAAUCUCGCUUCUCGCCCUCAGGGGGAGUAUUACGGGGCCAGGGACGUUGGAGGGGUUUCCACGUGACUCCAGCUGGAACACCGCUAGAGAGCGUAUCUGGGUGGGUUGGGCACACACCGUCGCGGCGGCCCCUGAUGGCAUCCACAAAGGUCCAAGACCCUCCUAAGCUCCCAGCCGUAGCAGAACUACGUAUUUCAGCACCCGAACGACUAACAACCCAGCCGGCAUCUGCAGCGUAUAUCCAACGCGAUCAAACUUCACUCUGACAAGUAACUUCCUAUACACAACCACGCCGUCCUUUCGCCCGGACCAGCCCAGCACUCUUUCCGCCCGCUACCUAGUGGUCGCCGGAUCAGCAGAGCCUGCGGACUCUUCGGACUCUGUGACCCUUACAGUAACUUCUACCUUCUCUCUUUAUAUCCUCCUCCAUGGCGUGGCUCGCCCAACCAUCGCUCGCCAUGUCACUCACACAGCUGUGCCUUGUUUCAGUGAGUGCGGGGAUUCCCGGGGAACCUGGAAGUGCCGGUGUCUGUACAAACCGGUCCGGGCGGAACCUCUUCACUCUCCUUUUGGUUCCGCCCCGCAUAGUCACUCCGUGACAACUGUUUGCGUUUUAUUUUCUCCUCAAUGUUCAAUACCCUUUUGCCAUUAAGCACACAGUGACAUUAAUUUAUAAAAUAUAUGCUUAAGUUUUAAUACCUGUACAAAACAAAUGUAAAAUCAACUUGUGUAAAUUGUCAUUUUAUUUAAUAGAUUGUUCAUGAAUUGUCUUUAAAUGCAUUGUGAUUUCGGUAACACUUUACAAUAAGGUUCAUUAGUUAACAUUAGUUAAUGUAUUAACUAACUUGAACAAACCACGAGCAAUACAUUUGUUACAGUAUUUAUUCAUCUUUGUUAAUGUUAGUUAAUAAAAAUUUAAGCUUUAAUUGCUUGUUCAUGUUAGUUCAGAGUGCAUUAACUAAUGUUAACAAGAUUUUAAUAAAGUAUAAGUAAUUGUUGAAAUUAACAUUAACAAAGAUUAAUAAAGGCUGUAUAAGUGCAGUUCAUUAUUAGUUCAUGUUAACUAAUGUAGCUAACUAAUGUUAACUAAUGAACCUUAUUGUAAAGUGUAACCGUGAUUUCUUUUCAUCAUUUCAGACACAUGUAAAAGUUACUAAAACUUAGUACUGCCUAUACUGUACAGUAUCUAUGCGUAAGGGAAAUAACUUGAACAAAAUUUUUUAUGUAUAGUGUAAUUAAUAGUUUAGCUGUUUAAUACAGAGAUGCAAUAUAUAUAUGUAUAUGUAUGUUUAUUAAAAAGUGAAAAUGCUUAAUGGAAAUAAUUAAAUAACUAAAUGGUUGAAUGUAAUGAGACAUUUUAAAUGUAUACCAAAGUUUUGCUGUCUAAUACAGAAUAAAGAGAUGUGAUUUUAAGUAA